GGCAUAUUGGACAAUGGGCGAAAGCCUGAUCCAGCAAUGCCGCGUGAGUGAUGAAGGCCUUAGGGUUGUAAAGCUCUUUUACCCGGGAUGAUAAUGACAGUACCGGGAGAAUAAGCCCCGGCUAACUCCGUGCCAGCAGCCGCGGUAAUACGGAGGGGGCUAGCGUUGUUCGGAAUUACUGGGCGUAAAGCGCGCGUAGGCGGCUUUGUAAGUCAGAGGUGAAAGCCUGGAGCGCAACUCCAGAACUGCCUUGGAAACUACAUCGCUUGAAUCAUGGAGAGGUGAGUGGAAUUCCGAGUGUAGAGGUGAAAUUCGUAGAUAUUCGGAAGAACACCAGUGGCGAAGGCGACUAACUGGACAUGUAUUGACGCUGAGGUGCGAAAGCGUGGGGAGCAAAC
rnacentral:rRNA from 1 species